rnacentral:rRNA from 1 species
CCUACGGGGUGCAGCAGGCGCGAAAACUUUACAAUGCUGGCAACAGCGAUAAGGGAACCUCGAGUGCCAGGUUACAAAUCUGGCUGUCGUGAUGCCUAAAAAGCAUUGCAUAGCAAGGGCCGGGCAAGACCGGUGCCAGCCGCCGCGGUAACACCGGCGGCUCGAGUGGUAACCGUUAUUAUUGGGUCUAAAGGGUCUGUAGCCGGCCGGAUAAGUCUCUUGGGAAAUCUGGCAGCUCAACUGUCAGGCUUUCAGGAGAUACUGUCUGGCUCGAGGCCGGGAGAGGUGAGAGGUACUUCAGGGGUAGGGGUGAAAUCUUGUAAUCCUUGAAGGACCACCAGUGGCGAAGGCGUCUCACCAGAACGGACCUGACGGCAAGGGACGAAAGCUAGGGGCACGAACCGGAUUAGAUACCCGGGUAGUCCUAGCCGUAAACGAUACUCGCUAGGUGUCGGCCACGGUGCGACCGUUGUCGGUGCCGUAGGGAAGCCGUGAAGCGAGC